GGGAUAGACUAGAAUGGACUGAGGAGUGCUAUAGGGUGGCAAGGGCAGACAGAUGAGAGGGAGUCCCCCUACUGCUCAUUCUGGCUCCCUUGUCUGGACAAGAAAGGAGACACUGGUCCUGACUGGAUCUCGGGUGCUCUGACCUGGAGGGCAGUUAGCCCCAUACAGGCCUUCCUCAGUGCUCCUGAAGGAACAUCCCCUUGGGUGUGACCACAGCCUGUUGGGCCUUCUGUACAGAGCCAUCCUGAGUCCUUCACUGACAUCCUGUCUCCCAUAUCUGAGCACUUCCCCGCCAUCCUACGUGGAGCCUGGAUCCCUGAGGAUCAGCAGGGUGUCAGAGUCUGCAGAGACUGGGAGAGCAAAUAGACAAUAAAACCAUGAGAGGGAGUCUGCGAC